rnacentral:rRNA from 14 species
ACAAGCAGUGGGAGCCGACUUGUUCGGUGACUGCGUACCUUUUGUAUAAUGGGUCAGCGACUUACAUUCAGUGGCAAGCUUAACCGAGUAGGGAAGGCGUAGCGAAAGCGAGUCCGAAUAGGGCGUUUCAGUCGCAUGCUCUAGACCCGAAGCGGAGUGAUCUACCCAUGGCCAGGGUGAAGCGACGGUAAGACGUCGUGGAUGACCGAACCCACUUCAGUUAAAAAUGGAGGGGAUGAGUUGUGGAUAGGGGUGAAAGGCCAAUCAAACUCCGUGAUAGCUGGUUCUCCCCGAAAUGCAUUUAGGUGCAGCGUUGCGUGUUUCUUGCCGGAGGUAGAGCACUGGAUAGCUAAUGGGCCCCACAAGGUUACUGACGUUAGCCAAACUCCGAAUGCCGGUAAGUGAGAGCGCAGCAGUGAGACUGCGGGGGAUAAGCUCCGUAGUCGAGAGGGAAACAGCCCAGAUCGCCGGCUAAGGCCCCCAAGCGUGUACUAAGUGG